rnacentral:rRNA from 1 species
GGCGGACGGGUGAGUAACGCGUGGGAACGUGCCCUUCUCUCCGGAAUAGCCCUGGGAAACUGGGAGUAAUGCCGGAUACGCCGUUUCGUGGAGACACGGGAUGGGAAAGAUUCAUCGGGGAAGGAUCGGCCCGCGUCGGAUUAGGUAGUUGGUGGGGUAACGGCCUACCAAGCCGACGAUCCGUAGCUGGUUUGAGAGGAUGACCAGCCACACUGGGACUGAGACACGGCCCAGACUCCUACGGGAGGCAGCAGUGGGGAAUCUUGGACAAUGGGGGCAACCCUGAUCCAGCCAUGCCGCGUGAGCGAUGAAGGCCUUAGGGUUGUAAAGCUCUUUCAGCGGGGAAGAUAAUGACGGUACCCGCAGAAGAAGCCCCGGCUAACUCCGUGCCAGCAGCCGCGGUAAUACGGAGGGGGCUAGCGUUGUUCGGAAUUACUGGGCGUAAAGCGCACGUAGGCGGACCAUCAAGUUGGGGGUGAAAUCCCGGGGCUCAACCCCGGAACUGCCUUCAAAACUGUUGGUCUGGAGGUCGAGAGAGGUGAGUGGAAUUCCGAGUGUAGAGGUGAAAUUCGUAGAUAUUCGGAGGAACACCAGUGGCGAAGGCGGCU